rnacentral:tRNA from 1 species
UCUAUUCUAGUUCAGUAGGUAGAGCAUGGGACUCUUAAUCCCAGGGUCUUGGGUUCAAGCCUAAUGAUGGGC